rnacentral:sRNA from 1 species
CAUGGGUGAUCUGCUGUGGGCUGAUGAAGUGAAUAUGCGUAUCAAUGCCCCCGGCAGUGGCGAUCAAGCCCGCCCCACCAUGCACUUCUGUACUGGCGCCGAUAACCAUGUCAGGAUCUACUCCAUCCAUGGUAUCGGGAUUGCCGGCUUUCCCUAUUUUCACAAUGCGGCCAUCUUUGAUGCCGAUAUCUGCUUUUACAAUGCCCCAGUGAUCAAUGAUCAUCACACUGGUGAUCACCAUAUCCAGCACCCCUUCAUUGCGGGUAGCUGUGGAGGAUUGCGCCAUUCCGUCGCGGAUG